UGGCGAUUUUUCUUCUGGGAUCGAUUUCGUCGGUGGUUCUGCUGGUGGUCGAGGUGAAAGAGGCUCCACGUCAUCCCCGAUGCUAAUAUCAGCACAAGCACGAAAUUCCUCUUGAGGACCACAACCCACGGCUCCUGUGCGGACAUAGUGCCCGGGAUAAUAUCUGAUCGAUUCGUUCUUCGAGCGUAGCAGGUGUUGGUCCAGACAUUCCUGAUCAACUUCUUUGCCCUUGUAGGUCAUCGAGCACGUGCGAAACUCGAAGUAACCGUGAUGGUUGGCCGGCAACUUCCAGAAAGUUUUCUGUGAAACGUAAUGAUCCGUUGCGAAUUGCUUUGGUCUUUGUUAGAGAAGAUACGCGCUCUACGUGUACAAAGGAAUUUUGAUUACCUUUGGUUGUAAUUAAUUGUCGAUUAUCAAUUUAUACAACGUUUAAUGUUUAAUAUUGACAUAAUAAUUGUAGUAUAAUUAUAAUAUUUAAUUUGUAUUUAUCAUAUAAUAUUAUAUUUAUAUAUUUAUAUAAUUAUAACAUUAAAUAAUUAUAUCAAA